rnacentral:tRNA from 1 species
GCGCGGUUAGCUCAGCUGGUAGAGCACAUGCUUGACGUGCAUGGGGUCAUAGGUUCGAGUCCUAUACCGCGCA